GUCUUUUAGGAUUUAAUUUUAAGUUUAACCUGCCCACUGAAAAUUUUUUAAAGGCUGCGGUAUUUUGACCGUACAAAGGUAGCAUAAUCAUUAGUUUAUUAAUUGUAAACUUGUAUGAAUGGUUGAAUGAGAUAUUAACUUUUUUAAUUUAAUAAAAAUUGAAUUUUACUUUUUAUUUAAAAGGAUAAAAUAGAUUUAAAAGACGAGAAGACCCUAUAGAGUUUCAUUUUUUAUUAAUUAAUUUUUCAUUAGAUUUUUUUUUUCUUUUUUAAUAAAUUAUUUUGUUGGGGUGAUGAUAAAAUUUAAAUAACUUUUAUUUUAUUUAAACAUUAAUAAAUGAUUAUUUGAUCCAUUUUUAAUGAUUAAAAGUUUAAAUUACCUUAGGGAUAACAGCGUAAUUCUUUUUUAAGUUCAUAUUAAUAAAAGAUUUUGCGACCUCGAUGUUGGAUUAAGAUUUAAUUUUAGGUGCAGAAGUUUAAAAUUUAAGUCUGUUCGACUUUUAAAUUCUU
rnacentral:rRNA from 1 species